GUGCUCACUUUGGCAGCACAUAUACUAAAAUUGGAACAAAACAGAGAACAUUAGCACGGCCCCUGCACAAGGAUAACACGUAAAUUCGUGAAGCGUUCCAUGUUUUU
ensembl:snRNA U6 U6 spliceosomal RNA